rnacentral:misc_RNA from 1 species
UUUCCGUAGGUGAACCUGCGGAAGGAUCAUUCACAAUAAGUGUUUUAUGGCACUUUUUAAACAAUCCAUAUCCACCUUGUGUGCAACGUUAUGAGACCCUCUAUUGUUAUCCUUUAGGUUACGGAAGGGGGAACCCCUACAACUUACCAACAUCACCUUUAUCUUAUUUGUCUGAUCAUUUGUUAUCACGAAUUAACUUAAUUCGAAAUUACAACUUUCAACAACGGAUCUCUUGGCUCUC